GCCCCGAGGGCGGCGCUAUUUCCAGCCGGGCCGAACGCCGGAGAUGCUCUAAAGGCCCAGGAUCCCAUCUCCCUCCUCCCACCUCCAUCACCAUCCGCCUCCGGCGGCGCCGCCGGCCACCUUCAUAACCCACCACACAAUAGCCCUCCGCGCCAUGCCCCUGCCCCUGCCCGUUCCCACCUCCCGCCUCCUCGCCGCCAUCUCCGCUGCUGCGUCCUCAACUGCAGACCUCCGCCGCCUCUCCCACCUCCUCCUCACCUCCUACACCCCACUCCCCCCGCUCCGCUGCCUCAAUACCCUCCUCAUGGCGCUCGCCCGCCACCGCAUGCUCCCGGACAUGGAGUCCUUCGCAUCCCGCAUGCCCGCGCGCAACCUUCGCACGUACACCACCCUUAUCAAUGCCUACUGCCUCGCCGGCGACCUCCCUGCUGCCAAGCGGCAUCUUGCCUCCCUACUCCGCGCUGGUCUUGCGCCGGACUCUCAUGCGUAUACCUCAUUUGUUCUCGGAUAUUGUCGGGCGGGGCUGCUUUCGCACGCCUGCCGGGUGUUCGUGCUAAUGCCGCUCCGAGGAUGUGCACGCACUGUGUUCACGUACACUGCUCUGCUCCAUGGGCUGUGUGGCGCCGGUAUGGUGCGUGAGGCUGUGGCAGUGUUUGCUGGGAUGCGGGCAGACGGGUGCGCCCCUGACACACAUGUGUAUGCCACGAUGGUGCAUGGACUGUGUGGGGCGGGGCGAACUGGAGAGGCAGAGGUUCUUCUCGCGGAGGCAAUGGCUGAGGGUUUUGAGCCAAAUGUGGUCGUCUACAAUGCCCUGAUUGAUGGCUACUGCAAUGCCGGGGACCUGGAGCUCGCGGUUAAGGUUUAUGAGAGGAUGGAUCUUAAGGGCUGCUCAGCAAAUGUGCGAACGUAUACUGAGCUGAUAUGUGGGUUCUGCAAAUCUGGCAAGGUGGACAGAGCCAUGGUGCUGUUCAGCCGGAUGGUCGAGGCUGGUUUGGCUCCAAAUGUGGUGACAUACACGGCCUUAAUUCAGGGGCAGUGCAAUAAUGGGCAGUUGGAAUGUGCUUUUAGGAUGCUCCAAUCGAUGGAGGCCACCGGGCUGGUUCCUAGUGAGUGGACUUGCUCGAUGUUGAUUGAUGCUCUGUGCAAACGUGGAAGGGUUGGGGAAGCUCAGUUGUUUCUUGGGUCUCUUAUACAGAAAGGAUACAGGGUGAAUGAGAUUGUCUACACCAGCUUGAUUGAUGGACUGUGCAAGGCAGGAAAGGUUGAUGCUGCUGACAAGUUAAUGCAGAAAUUGGUUUCACAGGGGUUUGUGCUAGACGCUCACACAUACAGUUCACUAAUUGAUGGAUUAUGCAGGCAAAAGGAGUUGUCACAAGCGAUGUUGGUGUUGGAUGAUAUGAUGGUGAAAGGAGUACAACCCAAUGCUGUCACGUAUACCAUUCUAAUUGAUGAGCUUGUUAGGGAGCUAGGACCUGAAGGUUCAAAGAAGAUACUUAAUAAGAUGAUUGCGGCAGGAAUUAAGCCUGAUGUUUUCACCUACACAAUAUUUGUUCGCUCCUACUGUCAUGAGGGAAGGAUGGAAGGUGCUGAACAUAUGAUGGUUGAAAUGGUUGAUCAGGGCAUUUCCCCUAAUUUAGUGACAUAUAACACUUUGAUUAGUGGGUAUGCAAAUUUAGGACUAGCCAGUCAAGCAUUUUCAGUUUUUAAGCACAUGGUUGCUAGUAGGUGCAAGCCAAAUGAGGUGUCCUACACGGCCCUGCUUAGAUUAUUGGUAAAGAAAAAAUCCUCUAAUAAUAUCCUUGCCAGCUCUGUUGAUAUAUGGAAAAUAGCAGAAAUGGAAUAUCUCCAGGAGCUUCUGGAGGAGGUGGUUAAGCUUCAGUUGCUUUCAGACAUUGAAAUUUACAAUUGUUUUCUUAGGUCUUUAUGCCGAGUUGAUAGAUUGGAGGAAACCAAAAUUUUGCUCGGUGAGAUGCAGAGUGCUAACUUGACCCCUGGCGAGGAUGUAUAUACUUCAAUUAUAGGGUGUUGUUGCAGACUAAAAAUGCCAACAGAAGCUUUGACAUUUCUUGAUUCAAUGAUCAAAAGUGGUUAUUUACCACGUGUAGAAUCGUAUAGGCAUAUUAUUUGUUCUCUUUGUGAGGAGGGAAGUAUUAAGACUGCUAAAAAGGUUUUGGGUGACAUGUUAUUGGAGGAAUACAACUAUGAUGAGAUAGUUUGGAAGAUUCUGGUUGAUGGUCUAUUGCGGAAGGGCAAUGCUGCCGAGUGUUUGAUUCUGCUCUCAGUGAUGGAGGAGCAAGAUUAUCGCCCUGGUGAUGCAUUGUAUGCCAAGCUUACAGAUGGCAAGGCAGUUGUCGUCACAGGAAGAAAGAAGGGUAUUUUAUUUGUCAGGAUUAGGGAUAUCAAUUACCUGCUUGAAGAGAUAUAUACAACACCGAAGUUGAAUUGUUUGUUGAGUUGAUUGCUGUAACUUGGUGAAAUUACUAGUUUCUAAUGGUAAAGAGCAUGAAUAUUGACAAUUAUCUAAGUAUGUUCCAGGCUGCUCCUCGAAGAAUACUUGAACGGUAAAUAGGAUAGUCAAAUUCUGGAAGAUUCCAUGGAUGCAACUUAUUGCUAAUGCACCGAGUCAGCUUCUGUAUAUAUGCCGGAUCAUAAUACUGCCAGUAACCUCGAUAGGGUUUCACGCGUAAUCGGAAGGCCAAAAGGGAGUCACAUGAGGCAGUUACCCAGGUCCAGUCCAGGCCCUCACGGUGGAGGCCCUACUCCUACUUGAUUGAAUUGAUGGUGAUAGCUUGGUAUGGGAGCUAUGAUGUGGUGUACAAUGGAGAGAUCGCUAUGAUCACGUAGGUGUAUCCAGAUUAGAUAAUCUAUGAUCUAGUCCUAGGCCUUGCUUAUACAGGGGACAAGGCCUAGGGGUUACAAUGUUCCAGGUCGGUGACACCGGGGUGGGGAUCCUUCGAGAUCCCCGGGAUAGCUUGUAUUGAUCGCCAAGUAGAUGGAUGCGUCUUGAUGAGGUCGCCAACCCGUUAGAGGGCCUGGGCCACACCGUGGCCUGAUGGGUCGACUUUUGGUCUGUCGGGUGUCGGGUACCCCUGGUACAUGGCAUCGUCAGUAGCCCCAUUGUAUCCUUGCUUACAGGGACAAGACCUAGGGUUUACAAACUUCAAGGUCUGUUAUGCCUGGGUGGUGAUCCUCUGAGAUCCCCGGGAUAGCUUGUCUUGAUCGCCAAGUAGAUGGAUGCGUCCUGAUGACGCCACCAACCUUUUAGAGGGCUUGGCCGCACCGUGGCCUGAUGGGUCGACUUCCGGUCUGCUGGUUUACCCUUGGUACAUGGCAUCGUCAGUAUCCCCCGAGUGCGUCAUGGACUCAACUGCAUCUGGGUUGCAAUUGAAAUGAUCGUGCUAUCUUGGACUGCUUGGCGAGGUUGUGAGGUACUCCUGGAAUCCCUAAAAUAAAAACAGAUCUGGCUCUGCCUAAUGAGAGGGCCAUAGCAGCUGGACGUGCCUGGUGUGGAUACCUGAAGGGGAACCUGGACCCGACCAGACAGGAGAUGUGCCUGGUGGCCAGCUCCCUAGUUUUGCCAGUGGCUUGUUUACGAAGGGCCUAAUGUCGACAGUAAUCUCGAUAGGGAGCCACUCGCAAUCAAAAGGCCAGAAGGGAGUCACACGAGGCAGUUAUUCAGGUUCAGGCCUUCACGGUGGAGGCAAGAUCCUAUUCCUGCUUUAUUGAAUUGAUGGUCAUAGCCUUGCAUGAGAGAUAUGGUGUGGUGUACAAUGGAGACAUCGCGAAGGAUCACGUAGGUGUAUCGAGAUUAGAUGAUAUAUGAUCUAGCCCUAGGCCUUGCUUAUGUAAGGGACAGGGCCUAGGGUUUGCAAUUUCCGGGUUGGUUAUGCUCGGGUGGGGAUCCUUUGAGAUUCUCGGGAUAGCUUGUCUUGGUCGCCAAGUAGAUGGAUGCGUGCUAAUGAGGCCGCCAGCCCGGUAACAUGCCUGGGACGCAACGUGGCCCGAUGGGCUGAUUCCCGGCCUGGUGGGCUGACUCCAAUCUGCUAGUGUUCCCCUGGUACAUGGCACCGUCAAUAUACGAGGUGGGUUGACCAUAACAAUGGAAAAGCCUUUAGUCCCAAACAAAUUGAGGUAGGCUAGAGGUAGAACCCAUAAGAUCUCGCGACCAACUCAUGGUUCUGGAACAUAUGGAUAGCAAGCUUCCACGUACCCCUGUGCAUGGCUAGUUCUUUAAUGAUACUCUUGUCCUUCAAAUCUCUCUUUACAGAUUCCUCUCAUGUCAAGUUCGGUCUACCCCGGCCUCUCUUGACAUUAUCAGCGCGCUUUAGCCGUCCACUAUGCACUGGAGCUUCUAGAAGCCUGCGCUGAAUAUGCCCAAACCAUUUCAGACGAUGUUAGACAAGCUUCUCUUCAAUCGGUGCUGCCCCAACUCCAUCUCGUAUAUCAUAUUCGGACUUGGUCCUUCCUCGUGUGGCCACACAUCCAUCUCAACAUGCGCAUCUCCGCCACACCUAACUGUUGUACAUGUUGCCUUUUAGUCGGCCAACACUCAGCGCCAUGCAACAUUGUGGGUCGAAUCGCCGUCCUAUAGAACUUGCCUUUUAGCUUUCGUGGCACUCUUGUCA